rnacentral:rRNA from 1 species
GAGUAACACGUAUGCAACCAACCCAUAACAGGGGGAUAACCCGGAGAAAUCCGGACUAAUACCGCAUAAGACCACGAUAUCGCAUGAUAUAGAGGUCAAAUAUUUAUAGGUUAUGGACGGGCAUGCGUCUGAUUAGCUGGUUGGCGGGGUAACGCCCACCAAGGCAUCGAUCAGUAGGGGUUCUGAGAGGAAGGUCCCCCACAUUGGAACUGAGACACGGUCCAAACUCCUACGGGAGGCAGCAGUGAGGAAUAUUGGUCAAUGGGCGAAAGCCUGAACCAGCCAUGUCGCGUGAAGGAAUGAAGGUCCUAUGGAUUGUAAACUUCUUUUGCAGGAGGGUAAAGUGAGCUACGUGUAGUUCAUUGCAAGUACCCUGCGAAUAAGCAUCGGCUAACUCCGUGCCAGCCGCUGC